UGGGGAAUAUUGCACAAUGGGCGCAAGCCUGAUGCAGCAAUGCCGCGUGUGUGAAGAAGGCCUUCGGGUUGUAAAGCACUUUCAGACGUGAGGAAAAGUUAAUAGUUAAUAACUGUUAACCCUGACGUUAACGUCAGAAGAAGCACCGGCUAACUCCGUGCCAGCAGCCGCGGUAAUACGGAGGGUGCAAGCGUUAAUCGGAAUUACUGGGCGUAAAGCGUGCGCAGGCUGUUUGACAAGUCAGAUGUGAAAUCCCCGAGCUCAACUUGGGAACUGCGUUUGAAACUGUCAGACUAGAAUAGGUCAGAGGGGGGUAGAAUUCCACGUGUAGCAGUGAAAUGCGUAGAGAUGUGGAGGAAUACCAAUGGCGAAGGCAGCCCCCUGGGAUCAUAUUGACGCUCAUGCACGAAAGCGUGGGGAGCGAACA
rnacentral:rRNA from 1 species